rnacentral:rRNA from 1 species
GGGUAAAAUUAAUAAAUUAUAAUUAAUAAAAAAAAUUUUAAUAUUAAAAAUAAAUAAAUGGGGGUUUAAGUAUUUUUAAUAGAAAAAAUUAAUAUUUUUAUAGUUAAAUAUUACUGUAAAGGAAUGUUAUAAAUAAAUGAAAAAAAUUAAUUAAAAAGUAAAUUUAAUUUAUUGUAUCUUGUGUAUCAGAGUUUAUUAAAUAAUAAUAAUUUAUUUAAAUAAAUCUCGAAUUUAAAAGAGUUAAUUAAUUAAAAAAUUUAAUGUUGUAUAAUUAUUUUUAAUAAUUAAUUAGAAAUGAAAUGUUAAUCGUUUUUAAAUAUAUCUAGUUUUUUUAGAAAAAAAUUUAAUUUAAAAUUAAAAUAAUUUUAUAAUUAUUUGAUUAAUUAUAAAAAUUUAAAAUUUAAUAUUUUAGGGGAUAAGCUUUAAAUUAAAAAUUUAUAAUUAAAAUAAUUAAAAUUAAAAUUUUUAAUAUUUAUAUUGUUUAAAAAUUAUAAUUUGUUAUAAAAAAUUUUAAUAAAAAAUAAAAUUUAAAUUAAAAAUUUAAAUUUUUAUAAAAAAAUAAUUUAUAAUUUAAUAAAGUUAGUAAUAAUGAUAAAAUUAGUAUAAUAAAUUAAUAAAAAUAAAAAUUUAUUAAAAAUUAAAUUAAAGGAAUUCGGCAAAAAUUUAUGUUCACUUGUUUAUCAAAAACAUGUCUUUUUGGUUAUAAUUUAAAGUCUAAUCUGCCCACUGAUGUUAAAAAUUAAAGGGCUGCAGUAUAUUGACUGUACAAAGGUAGCAUAAUCAUUAGUCUUUUAAUUGGAGACUUGUAUGAAAGAUUUGAUGAGAUAUAAACUGUCUCUAUAUUAAAUUUAGAAGUUAAUUUUUUAGUUAAAAAGCUAAAAUAAAAUUAAAAGACGAGAAGACCCUAUAGAGUUUUAUAUUUUAUUUUUUUUUUUAUAUUUGUAUAUAAUUAAUUAAAAAAGGAAAUAAAAUAUUUUGUUGGGGUGAUAGAAAAAUUUAAUAAACUUUUUUUAAAUUAUAACAUAAAUAAGUGAAUUAUUGAUCCAUUAUUAAUGAUUAAAAGAAAAAAUUACCUUAGGGAUAACAGCGUAAUAUUUUUUUUUAGUACAAAUAAAAAAAAAAGUUUGCGACCUCGAUGUUGGAUUAAGAUAAAAUUUAAAUGCAGAAGUUUAAAAUUUUGAUCUGUUCGAUCAUUAAAAUCUUACAUGAUCUGAGUUCAAACCGGUGUGAGCCAGGUUGGUUUCUAUCUUUAAUUAAUAUAAAUAUUUUAGUACGAAAGGAUUAAAUAUUUAAAAUAAUUUUAUUUAUUUGAAUAUUAUUAAAUGAAAAUAGAUUUUA